rnacentral:rRNA from 1 species
UACGAAAGGGGGCUAGCGUUGCUCGGAAUCACUGGGCGUAAAGGGUGCGUAGGCGGGUCUUUAAGUCAGGGGUGAAAUCCUGGAGCUCAACUCCAGAACUGCCUUUGAUACUGAAGAUCUUGAGUUCGGGAGAGGUGAGUGGAACUGCGAGUGUAGAGGUGAAAUUCGUAGAUAUUCGCAAGAACACCAGUGGCGAAGGCGGCUCACUGGCCCGAUACUGACGCUGAGGCACGAAAGCGUGGGGAGCAAACAGGG